rnacentral:rRNA from 1 species
UUGAACGCUGGCGGCAGGCCUAACACAUGCAAGUCGAACGGUAGCAGGAAACAGCUUGCUGUUUUGCUGACGAGUGGCGGACGGGUGAGUAAUGUCUGGGAAACUGCCUGAUGGAGGGGGAUAACUACUGGAAACGGUAGCUAAUACCGCAUAACGUCGCAAGACCAAAGAGGGGGACCUUCGGGCCUCUUGCCAUCGGAUGUGCCCAGAUGGGAUUAGCUAGUAGGUGGGGUAACGGCUCACCUAGGCGACGAUCCCUAGCUGGUCUGAGAGGAUGACCAGCCACACUGGAACUGAGACACGGUCCAGACUCCUACGGGAGGCAGCAGUGGGGAAUAUUGCACAAUGGGCGCAAGCCUGAUGCAGCCAUGCCGCGUGUAUGAAGAAGGCCUUCGGGUUGUAAAGUACUUUCAGCGGGGAUGAAGGGAGUAAAGUUAAUACCUUUGCUCAUUGACGUUACCCGCAGAAGAAGCACCGGCUAACUCCGUG